CUAGCUAAACUUUCUUCUUCUCUCCGUCAUCGCACCAGCUUCUUCUUCUCCUUUCUUCACUCACAGCGCCACCGCCGGCCACCCUAACCGCAGCAGCUACCUUCUCUUUCUUCUCUUCUAUUUUUAAACACCGAACCAGUAGAACACAGUCUCUGUCUCUCUUGUUCUUUCUCGUUCGCAAAACAAAGCAAACUCAAGCUCCACCUCUGCCGUGCCUCGCUCUCUCCUUUUAUCCCCCUCAGUUCUGGCUCGCAUAUCUUCUCAGCGCCACAGCCAUCGUUUUCUCCAGUCAAUGCCGCGGCUAUCUUCGCGCAAGUCCCAACUCUGUGGCGACUAAAAUCAGUUUCACCGUUAACCGUGGUUCUAUUUUUCUCUUUUUCCCUGUUUGAACCGUAAAGAUCUGGACAUCCUUCUUUUCCUCUGCCUUAUUUUGAUUGUCUCUGUUUUCGGGUUUUAGUUUUAAAAUUUUUUUAAUUUCUGUUGAGUUUAAUUAAUUUUGUUUAGUUAGUUUAAUUUUAGUAAUCAGUUUAGUUAGAUUUGCUUUUUGAUUAGUGGAUUUGUAGGUGGUUAAAAUAGAAUUAGAUUAGGUUUUGAUUUUGAAUAGCUGAGAAAUAGGAGAGACGGUUUCUAAGGCAUUGUUUGGUAAACAGGAAUUGGGAAGAAAAUGAGGAAGAAAUAGGAGAGAGAAAGAGAGAGAGAGAGACAGUGACUCGGUGAGGUGAGUAACUGAAUGACGAAUUAAAACGAAAGGUUUAGGGGCGUAGGGACUAGGGAGGGAGACGAAACUAUUGAUUCCGCUACUGUGUAAUUGAAUGGAAUUGAGUGCACAAUAGAAUUAGAGAUAACACCGAAAACAAAGAAUCGUGUAGAAUCAAGGGAGCUAGGGUUUGCGAUGAGUGAGAGUAACAGCAACAGCAACGGGGUGAGCAAUAUCAACAUAACAAGAUUUUGUGUUUUAUGUCAGUAUUUUCCACAACCACUAGGUUUUUCUUUUUCCAUUUCUCUUUCUGUUUCUGUUACAUAACAAGAUUUUGUGUUUUAUGUCAGUAAAAAUGGGCAAGUUGUUGGCACAGUUUACAAGGACAUGAAGGGUCCACGCUUUCCUACCAUUGCUGUUCAUAGCCAAAAUGAAGAUUCUGCUUCACUAAAUGAAUGAGCCAGACUAUUUUCAGUUCUGCUUUCCAUAUCAUGUGAAGCUCAGUAAAAAAGGUUACUGUUCACUGAUAUACAGCGGCGAUCAUGACAUGUUGAUUCCUUACUUGGCAACUGAAGCAUGGAUAAGAUCUUUAAACUGCUACAUCAUAGAUGAUUGGAGGCCAUGGCACACAAAUGGCCAAGUUGCAGGAUACCCAAGGACUUACUCAUGGCUGAGGUGAGGACAAGGUUCUUGAGUGUUUUGAACUUCAACCCGAUAACAGUGUGUUUCUAGAGCUGAUUCCUAUUUUUCCCAAGUCUCAUGCUUCACAGAUUCUUGGAUUUAAGUUUCAAUAUUAUCAGCACAUGGAAGUCAGCUGCCCUGUUCCCUUUGGGCUCUAUAAGCUCACAGCAUUACUAUUGAUAUUGAUAUUGAUAUUGAUAUUGAUAUUGAUAUUGAUAUUGCUGAUGAUGAUAUUAUCUUGUGGUAUAAUUUUAAUUUAUCUAUCUACUGGGCUCUACACUUGUCACAGUUUUUUGAUGGAUAUGAAUAUCAUGUGACAUCAUUUGAGCAGACUUACCAAUGUUACCCUGCUUCGUUUAUUGAGAAGGUUCGAUUUGUUAUAUGAAGAAUGCAUUGAGUUUAAUAAGCUGGGACUUAGAGAUAAUGUUGCGCAGAUAUGUGUACUAGAGUUCAAAACUCAAAAUGGAUCUGUCCCAUCAAGGACUUUCCCUGGAUAUGUUAUGACUUAAGAGAUUGGAAAGCUAUUCUUUAUAUAUAAAACUUAGUUGGUUUAAGGAGUGGAAGAGCCACUUUCUUAUUGAUGAUAAUGAUGAAGAGUUUUUUUUGGAGGGCUUUCAAGUAGGAUGAUGAUGAGGAGGAGGACUAUGAUGAUGAUGAGGAUGAAGAUGACACAGAAGACUAUAACUGAUCGUUUUAGUAUGGUUGAACAAUAUACUGAAAAUUAUAGUUGAUGUAUCAAUACACUUUGUUUAUGUUUUGAAUUAUAUUGACUUGUUUGUUUAUAGUACUUUUCUUUUAGUUUGAUAAUACGAUAAAUUUGUUUAUUUUUUGAAA